ACAACUCAAAUGAUGACAUCUACAUACCCAAUUCUGAGAAAUUAUGUUGAAAUCCUUUUAACAUGCAUCACCAUCUGAUAUAAUC
rfam:Drosophila pseudoobscura pseudoobscura strain MV2-25 chromosome XR unlocalized genomic scaffold ChXR_group8, whole genome shotgun sequence.